AACAUACAUUUACAGAAAGCAAUGAAGGAUUGGCAACUAAGAUUGUAGAGAAAACUUCUUCAACUAUACUUUUUAUAUAUUAUUUGAUGAAUUUGGAGUCGGGAUAAAGAAGUUAUAGAGAGUUAAAGUCAGCACAUCCAAAUCAAAGUCAAUAAGUAAGUGAUUUUGUUCAUUGUAAUGGUUGGAGCUAUAUCUUAAGAUUUUGGACGAAUUUUUGACUUAAACCUUUUAAAGAAGGUAGAUUAUUAUAUUAAAAAGCUAUAAAUAUAAAUUUUGUGGCAUUUGAGUAUAUAGUUUGAGAGUAAUGAAGAAAUAUACAUACAGGUAUAUAAAAACCUGGAUUUGAAGCUAUUGUUAGGAUUUUAGAGAUAUCUCAAGAUCUACAAUGAAUUUAUAGUUGAAAUUUGUUAUGAUAGUUUUUAGAAGUACAUUAAUACUUUAUGUAAAAUUUGAAUAUGUUUGA
rnacentral:lncRNA from 1 species